rnacentral:rRNA from 1 species
UACAGAGGGUGCGAGCGUUAAUCGGAAUUACUGGGCGUAAAGCGCGCGUAGGCGGUUUGAUAAGUUGGAUGUGAAAUCCCCGGGCUUAACCUGGGCACUGCAUUCAAAACUAUCAGGCUAGAGUAUGGGAGAGGAUGGUAGAAUUCCAGGUGUAGCGGUGAAAUGCGUAGAGAUCUGGAGGAAUACCGAUGGCGAAGGCAGCCAUCUGGCCUAAUACUGACGCUGAGGUGCGAAAGCAUGGGGAGCAAACAGG